GACGAACGCUGGCGGCGUGCUUAACACAUGCAAGUCGAACGAAAAGAGGGAAAGAGCUUGCUCUUUCCGGAAUUGAGUGGCAAACGGGUGAGUAACACGUAAACAACCUGCCUUCAGGAUGGGGACAACAGACGGAAACGACUGCUAAUACCGAAUAAGUUCCAAGGGCCGCAUGGCCCAUGGAAGAAAAGGUGGCCUCUACCUGUAAGCUAUCGCCUGAAGAGGGGUUUGCGUCUGAUUAGCUGGUUGGAGGGGUAACGGCCCACCAAGGCGACGAUCAGUAGCCGGUCGGAGAGGGUGAACGGCCACACUGGAACUGAGACACGGUCCAGACUCCUACGGGAGGCAGCAGUGGGGAAUCUUCCGCAAUGGGCGAAAGCCUGACGGAGCAACGCCGCGUGAGUGAUGACGGCCUUCGGGUUGUAAAACUCUGUGAUCCGGGACGAAAAGGCAGAGUGCGAAGAACAAACUGCAUUGACGGUACCGGAAAAGCAAGCCACGGCUAACUACGUG
rnacentral:rRNA from 1 species